UACGGAGGGGGCUAGCGUUGUUCGGAAUUACUGGGCGUAAAGCGCGCAUAGGCGGCUUAGCAAGUUAGAGGUGAAAGCCCGAAGCUCAACUUCGGAAUUGCCUUUAAAACUGCAAAGCUAGAACCAUGGAGAGGUUAGUGGAAUUCCGAGUGUAGAGGUGAAAUUCGUAGAUAUUCGGAAGAACACCAGUGGCGAAGGCGACUAACUGGACAUGUAUUGACGCUGAGGUGCGAAAGCGUGGGGAGCAAACAGG
rnacentral:rRNA from 1 species